rnacentral:lncRNA from 1 species
UGGUUUCUUCCUCCAGUUAGGAGCCUUGAUGCCGGAGGGGACAGUGGUAGGUGGGGAGGUUGAGUGCAAAGGGUUCAGGCUGUAAGUCAUGUUGGGUUGGAAUGGGGGCACAGGAAGGUGGGGCUGUUGGGGAGCCACGCUAAGCCGGGUGUCUGUAGCAGAGCCAGAGAACCGGGACACUGAAGAGGGUGCUGAAGGGGGCGACUCUCAGGGAUCGAGCCAGGGCCCCCGAAGGUGGGAUCGACCAGGGUAGGAGACAGGAAAAAAAAGGAGAGCAGCGGGUGGGGGCGAAAGCAGGGCCGAGGAGAGAGCACUUUGGACAGAACCCGGCGGGGAAAGGGCGGCGCCGAGGCUUGUCAGGGGCGCCCCGCAGCGUCCCAGGCGCACCUGUUGGGAAGAAAGGAAGGGGCUUCCCGGUGUUCGAGGGAAAUCCAGUCCGGAGGGGCUGACUCGGAGCUUGGGACUCCUGGGGAGCCACCGCCUCCUCCCCAGCGGCGGUCAAAACCGGGCAAGCGAAGGGGCGUGACCCUGGUGCUCAGGUUUCUUCCUCCUCACCUGGGCAAGGAGGGGUGGGGGCCACGACUUCCGGUUCAGGGUCGCCGAGAGCGCCCGGAGGGAACCGCCUGGCCUUCGGGGACCACCAAUUUUGUCUGGAACCACCCUCCCGGCGUAUCCUACUCCCUGUGCCGCGAGGCCAUCGCUUCACUGGAGGGGUCGAUUUGUGUGUAGUUUGGUGACAAGAUUUGCAUUCACCUGGCCCAAACCCUUUUUGUCUCUUUGGGUGACCGGAAAACUCCACCUCAAGUUUUCUUUUGUGGGGCUGCCCCCCAAGUGUCGUUUGUUUUACUGUAGGGUCUCCCCGCCCGGCGCC